GUAGUCGCUUCAGUAAUACAUAUAUUCAAUUCCGAAUAAAACAGAGAAGAUUAGCAUUGCCCCUGCACAAGGAUGACACGCAAAAUCGUGGAGGGUUUAUUUU
rnacentral:snRNA from 1 species